rnacentral:rRNA from 1 species
UACGUAGGGUGCAAGCGUUGUCCGGAAUUAUUGGGCGUAAAGGGCGCGUAGGCGGCCUGUUAAGUCGAACGUGAAAUCCCUGGGCUCAACCCAGGAACUGCGUCCGAUACUGGCAGGCUUGAAUCCGGGAGAGGGAUGCGGAAUUCCAGGUGUAGCGGUGAAAUGCGUAGAUAUCUGGAGGAACACCGGUGGCGAAGGCGGCAUCCUGGACCGGCAUUGACGCUGAGGCGCGAAGGCCAGGGGAGCAAACGGG